AGAGUUUGAUCCUGGCUCAGGACGAACGCUGGCGGCGCGCCUAACACAUGCAAGUCGAACGAGAGAGAGGGAGCUUGCUUCCUUGAUCGAGUGGCGAACGGGUGAGUAACGCGUGAGGAACCUGCCUCAAAGAGGGGGACAACAGUUGGAAACGACUGCUAAUACCGCAUAAGCCCACGGCUCGGCAUCGAGCAGAGGGAAAAGGAGCAAUCCGCUUUGAGAUGGCCUCGCGUCCGAUUAGCUAGUUGGUGAGGUAACGGCCCACCAAGGCGACGAUCGGUAGCCGGACUGAGAGGUUGAACGGCCACAUUGGGACUGAGACACGGCCCAGACUCCUACGGGAGGCAGCAGUGGGGAAUAUUGCACAAUGGGGGAAACCCUGAUGCAGCGACGCCGCGUGGAGGAAGAAGGUCUUCGGAUUGUAAACUCCUGUUGUUGAGGAAGAUAAUGACGGUACUCAACAAGGAAGUGACGGCUAACUACGUGCCAGCAGCCGCGGUAAAACGUAGGUCACAAGCGUUGUCCGGAAUUACUGGGUGUAAAGGGAGCGCAGGCGGGAGAACAAGUUGGAAGUGAAAUCCAUGGGCUCAACCCAUGAACUGCUUUCAAAACUGUUUUUCUUGAGUAGUGCAGAGGUAGGCGGAAUUCCCGGUGUAGCGGUGGAAUGCGUAGAUAUCGGGAGGAACACCAGUGGCGAAGGCGGCCUACUGGGCACCAACUGACGCUGAGGCUCGAAAGUGUGGGUAGCAAACAGGAUUAGAUACCCUGGUAGUCCACACCGUAAACGAUGAUUACUAGGUGUUGGAGGAUUGACCCCUUCAGUGCCGCAGUUAACACAAUAAGUAAUCCACCUGGGGAGUACGACCGCAAGGUUGAAACUCAAAGGAAUUGACGGGGGCCCGCACAAGCAGUGGAGUAU
rnacentral:rRNA from 1 species